rnacentral:rRNA from 1 species
CCUACGGGGGGCAGCAGUAGGGAAUUUUCGGCAAUGGACGAAAGUCUGACCGAGCAACGCCGCGUGAGUGAAGAAGGUUUUCGGAUCGUAAAACUCUGUUGGUAGAGAAGAACGUUGGUGAGAGUGGAAAGCUCAUCAAGUGACGGUAACUACCCAGAAAGGGACGGCUAACUACGUGACAGCAGCCGCGGUAAUACGUAGGUACCGAUCGUUGUCCGGAUUUAUUGGGCGUACAGCGAGCGAGGGGGGUGUAUAAGUUCGUGUGUAAAAGGCAGUGGCUCAACCCAUGUCUGCAUUGGAAACUGGUAGACAUGAGUGCAGGAGAGGAGGUUGGAAUUCCAUGUGUAGCGGUGAAAUUCGUAGAUAUAUGGAGGAACACCGGUGGCGAAAGCGGCUCUCUGGCCUGUAACUGACACUGAGGCUCGAAAGCGUGGGGAGCAAACAGGAUUAGAUACCCCAGUAGUC